rnacentral:rRNA from 1 species
UACGAAGGGGGCUAGCGUUGCUCGGAAUCACUGGGCGUAAAGGGUGCGUAGGCGGGUCUUUAAGUCAGAGGGGAAAUCCUGGAGCUCAACUCCAGAACUGCCUUUGAUACUGAGGAUCUUGAGUUCGGGAGAGGUGAGUGGAACUGCGAGUGUAGAGGUGAAAUUCGUAGAUAUUCGCAAGAACACCAGUGGCGAAGGCGGCUCACUGGCCCGGUACUGACGCUGAGGUGCGAAAGCGUGGGGAGCAAACAGG